AAACCAUGCUGUGGACACUUCUGCAAGAGAUCCUUGAAUCUCUCCCAUGUCUCAAACAAGAUUUAAGCUCCAUUUGAACAAACGGUGAUAUUUCAUUAUGAAGCUU